rnacentral:rRNA from 1 species
CCAUGCCGCGGGGAUGAUGAAGGCCCUAGGGUCGUAAAGCUUUUCAACUGYGAAGAUAAUGAGGGUACAGUAGAAGAAACCCCGGCUAACUUCCGCUGCCAGCAGCCGCGGUAAUACGGAGGGGGUUAGCGUUGUUCGGAAUUACUGGGCGUAAAGCGUACGUAKGCGGAUUAAUAAGUUAGAGGUGAAAUCCCAGGGCUCAACCCUGGAACUGCCUUUAAAACUGUUAGUCUUGAGAUCAAAAGAGGUGAGUGGAAUUCCAAGUGUAGAGGUGAAAUUCGUAAUAUUUGGAGGAACACCAGUGGCAAGGCGGUCACUGGCUCCAUACUGACGCUGACGUACUARAGUGUGGGGAGCAAACAGGAUUAAUACCCUGGUAGUCCACACCGAUAAACGAUGAAUGCCAGACGUCAGCAAGCAUGCUUGUUGGUGUCACACCUAACGGAUUAAGCUUCCGCCUGGGGAGUACGGUCGCAAUUAAAACUAAGUA